GGAAGACUGGCCCUGAGUUAACAUCCAUGCCCACUCUACGUUAUAUGUGGGAUACGUGCCACAGCAUGGCUGGCUAAGUGGUGCAUAGGUCCACACCUGGGAUCUGAACCAGGGAACCCUGGGCCACUGAAGUGGACUAUGUGAACUUAACCACUGUGCCGCCGGGCUGGCCCCCAACUUUUCUUUUUUUGAUUUAGCUGAAGAUAGUAUUUAAGCCUGAAACCUAAGCCACCUCCUUCAGAGUUACUGAUUUUUCCCUGGGUAUCUUUCAUGAAUGCAGAUGCAUAUUAAAAAACUUCUUUGUUUUUCUCUUAUUAAUCUGUCUUUUGUUACAGGGGCCCCAGCCGAGAACUUAAAACGAUAGAGGAAAAACGUAUUUUUCCUUUCCUCAAAUAUGAAUUUUUUUUUGUGAAGAUUAGCCCUGAGCUAACAUCUGCUGCCGAUCCUCUUUUUGCUGAGGAAGACUGGCCCUGAGCUAACAUCCAUGCCCAUCUUCCUCUACUUUAUAUGUGGGACGCCUACCACAGCAUGGCGUGCCAAGUGGUGCUGUGUCCGCAGCAGGGAUCUGAACCAGCAAACCCUGGGCCGCCGAAGCAGAACAUGAGAACUUAAUGCUGUGCCACUGGGCCGGCCCCUACAAUAUGAAUUUUGGGGGAGACAUUCAGUCUGUAAUACCCUGGUUAUGAAAUUUUAUUUAUUACAAAUAUAUUAGCUCAGGUCUAGGCAAUAAAUGAAGUCUUAGUCUCUUAGAAUUGUUUGGUAAAAUGUGAGUGAGUGGGGGAGAAAGAUGGUGUCAUACCAUCAUGAUCCUCCUUGUAUUACAUGAUUUUUAAAAUGAUGUUACUCUUUCUCCUACAAGGAUUUAAUGAGCGAGGACAUUUUUGUAAGUACACUAUCCUUCCCAUUCAUUAUCUACUCAUCACAUAAAAUCAAAUUUGGCACUAUCGUUUCUCCACCUCGGUUCUAAUAUACAUUUUAUGAAUCAUAGUUCAUCUGACUGUGUGUCACGGAUGAAGAUUUAGGAGAUGAGUUUUGUACUGCCAGUGAUGGUCACUGGGAGAAGCAUGACUUGGGAGUUUAUUCCAUUUUGGCAGGACCAGACAUGUCUCUAUAGCCUUGGUGUGAGGUGACGGAGGGGUUAGCCAGGGCAACAGAAGUACUUCCCAUCCCAGAGUCAAGGGUUUUGGGGGUACAGAAGGGGAAAAUAUCUCUGAUUAAUUCAUGCCUACGUGUAUUAUUAGGUGCACUGAGGUUGGAGUAGGUUUAGGGCCGUCCUUAGGUGAUGGGAAGGCGUGAGAUCAGAUGCAUGAACAUGUCAUGUGAACAAGUGAAGCAAGUGCACAUUCGCUUAUAUAAUUAAUGUGUGCGAUGAGUGCUGUGCUGCACAGACAGAGCUGGGCGGAGCUGGAGGGAGCCCACGGGCUUGCAUGUGGGAAGCCCAGGCUUUAGCAAAGAAACAGCCCAUCCGCAGACUCCUUCAGACUGCCAGCUCAUGCUCAGCGGUGUUACAAGAUAAACUGAGGCACAUUAACAUUUUGAAGAGUUUGAGAAACAUUCAUUCCAGUUGGACAGCGCCAAACCGGAAGUGGUUAGGAGACCUUCACUGACAGGAGCUAGGGGCAAGACUUUUGUAGAACAGAUGCAGAAGCAAAGCAAGGAAAUUACUUGAUUUGGCUAUUGCCUUCACCCUAUUUGGGAAAGCCUUGUUGGCUGUUUAUGAUUGGUUGUCUCUAGGCUUUGAUUUCACAACCUAGACGCAUUUACAGGCCUAGGUUUUGGUUUGCUUAUGUAGGCUGCCAAGGGAUUAGAGCCACCUCAGUCUAAUGGCCUCCUUGUUUAAUUAAUUUAACAAAGAUCAGAUCCUCUCCACACAGGCAUGCCUCACACAGAGGUCAAGUGAGAAACUAGAGAAUUGCUUGGAAAAUACCCCUAUCUCCAUCCCUCUUCUGAGCCUCCUGUUUCUGGUCAAAUGUCAUGUAAGGAAAGGAUUGAUUCUUCGUGUUGACUGGCUAAAGUGGUCCUGCUAGGAAUCGAGGGGGAAAGUAUAAGAUUACUUAACAAGAUAUCUUCUUGGAAGCCCUCUGAUAUUAUGGUCACCUAACCCUUCUGUAAAUUGCCUUUGUUUAACUCUUUCUCUCAACCUAUAGGUCUUGCCCAAUAAACCAGGGCAAGUACGAAGUAUACAGUUAUGAAAACAAAUGCAAAACCUACUUUCCAGCCUCUACUUUCUUUGAGGAUUCUGAUUUAAAAACAAUAGGAGGGGCCAGCCCUGUGGCCAAGUGGUUAAGUUCGUAUGCUCUGUUUCAGCGGCCUGGGGUUUGUUGGUUCAGAUCUCAGGUGCGGACCUACACACCACUUAUCAAGCCAUGCUGUGGUGGCACCCCACAGAGAAGAACUAGAAUGACUUACAACUAGGAUAUGCAACAAUGUACUGGGGCUUUGGGGAGAAAAAAAGAAGAAGAUUGGCAACAGAUGUUAGCUCAGGGCUAAUCUACCUCACUAAAAAGCAUUAAAAAAAAAGAUAGUAAUAAAAUUCUUUACAUAUUAAAAACAAAGUGUUUUUAACCUUCUAUACCUUUAUGCUUCCAAUUCUUUUUCAGACUGAAUUCUCUCUACAAACACAUGAUUGCUUAAUACCAGUGUCUGAGUUCCCUGUAAUUUCCAGAUCUCUGGGUUUCAUUGUUAAAUAGCACUGUCCAAUAUGGUAGCCACUAGUCAGUGGCUGUUGAGCACUUGAAAUGUGGCUGGUCUGACUUGAGAUGUAUUGUAAGUGUAAAAUAUGUAGUUGAUCUCAAAGACUUAGUACGUGAAAUGGACAGAUUCUAAGAUGCCUCACACCCUUGUGGAAUCUCCUCCCUUUUGAAUGAGUGUGGGACCUGUGACUUGCUUUUAACCAAUAGAAUAUGGCAAAGAUGAUAGGAUGUCAAGUCCACAGUUAUGUUAUAUAGAUUGUAACUGUCAUCUUGCUAACAGACUCUAUUGCCUCUCCUUUUCUGGCUUUGAUGGAGAGACCCGUGUGGCAAGGAACUGAGAGUGGAUUCCAGCUGACAGCCAGCAGCAAGGUGAGACCUCUAGUCUGAUAACUCACAAAGAACUGAAUCCUGCCUUCAACCAUGUGGUCUUGGAAGAGGAUCUUACCCUAUUGCAGUCUCAGGUGAGAUUCCAGCCCUGGCUGACACCUUGACUGCAGCCUUGUGAGAGACCUUGAAGCAGAGGACCCACUACUAGAACAUUGAAAAUUUAAAAUAUGUGGCUUGCCUUAUAUUUAUAUUGGACAGCAUUGGCAUCGAACUUCAAGGAGACAAGAAUUUCCUGUAGCUCAUGUGGCCCAGCAUGCCGGAGGGAGGUGGUUGUUACAUCACUCUGUCGCUUACCGGGGCAUGCUAUUCAAACAGAAAAUAGUCUAUCACUUCUGGAAGAAAAUGAUUCACCUUUUUUGAAGAUGGGGGAAGCGAUUGUAUAAUUUUUGCCCAAAGGUGAAAUCUGCUCAAGUCUUCUACUUUCAGAUGCUGCCUUCAGGGUUUAAUUUGUUUCAGAUUAACAGCAGGUGGCAGAUGCAAUUAAACGG
rnacentral:lncRNA from 1 species